ACGUACACGCGCAUGUCCGCCCAGCCGCCCCGCUGCUCGCCCUGUCUACACGUCAGGCACCGUAACCACUAGCCUCUGCUCGCUAGCGUCGUGCGCUCCUCUGCUGAAUUCGACGCUUCGCUGUCCUACGAGCUCUACCGCGCCGAACUGCCAAGCCAGUGGCCGACGUGCUCUGUCCUCACCGUCCCUGCUCGUUCCCCUACAGCAAGUUGUUGGCUCUAAGAUGCCGGGUUCCCUCCACCUAGCUCCGCCACCGGUGCUCGGCUUCAUCCGCGACGGUGUCCCGGUGUCGAGCACCUUGCCCAGCUCCGCUACUCCUGACUCGCCGGCAACCUGUGGCUCGGACUUCACCAUCGGCUCUUUGUGUGCUUCGCUGCGCCAGAUCGCCGCGUCACCGUGAAGCUAAAUGCCUUGCCUUUCGCUGCUGUUGUAGCCGAGUCGUCAUCGCCCAAGUGCUGAGCGCCCUGAACUCGCCACCGUUCUGCAGUCCCGCCGUCGGCUCACUGCUCGUCUCGCUACAUUGCCAUCGUUCACUAUCCUCGUCCUCGCCGUCUACCUCGCCGCUCCUCACGCCCAACAAGUUGUCACGCUUGGCAUGUUUCCUCCAUGCGGCCUCACGCGUUCCUCUCGCUUCAUCUGCUAGUCGUGGGGUAGUGCAGAUCACGUUGUCUGUGAAUCAAUCGAUUGGUGGAGUAAUUUUCUAGAGACUGGUCAUUACCCUGAAGACUCAUGAAAUUUUAUUUCCUUAGUCUUCAGCUCUUCUCUGCAACAAAGGCAAGCCCCGAUGCAUUCACCACUUUCCUUGUUGUUUACAAAACUUUUAUCACUUGAUAUGCUGCAUUAGGUGAUAGGAGUUACGUGAUCAAACAAUUGAUGCAUUACCAUCCUUGAGAAUUUGAAUAAUCAUUCCUUGAUACCUAUUGUAUGAAAAACUAGUGUCGCUUAGCCCUGCUUAAAGUGAUAGGAUUUUGAAAUUUAUUUUGAUUACUGAUUAUUGUUAUGUGUGAAUGAACUUGAGUUAGAUAACUAAUAUGAGACCAGGCGGGUGGCUUGCAUCGUGAAAUGAGUCGGUGUAGUGCUCCGCCUGUGUCGAUUAAGGACCGUUCGAUGUAGGCCUGUUGUGGUUGAGACUUUGCAACUAGCCACAUGCCUCGGUAAGCCUGAACCCAGCUAUUCCAUACGUGAAAAGAGAACCGCGCACUGGGCGUGGGAGAUGGUGGGAGUAGCGUGUACCCUCCUGGCUAGAGGCUGGACGGAAGAGUAUUGUGCUCCCGGGUAGCGCGGACCGGUUCACGUUGUGGAGGAUCAGUGGGAACGGUUGACAUAUGCAAGGGUUAAGUUCUACAUAUGUCGUGUGGUUAGAAAUCCUCAGCUGGGUAUAAUCGGUUCGAAUCAUCGUUGCUCCUCGGUUAUAGAGACUUGACCCUCCGACCACUCAUCGUAGUUAAUAAGUGAAACAUGAAUUGGCUAAAAGAAAGCUAGAUAGGACAAGUGAAUGCUCUAGAUCAGGAAAAUCUAGAAUCAUCUAGAAUCAGGUAAGAACUUAAAUUGAUAAUUAAAAGAUGGCCUAAGGAUCCACUAUUAGUAAGCGUUUCUGCAAAAUGAGUCCUUGAUUAUUGCUUAGUCUUAUCUUGACUCCCUCUAGCCAGUAUACCCUUGAGAGUCUUUUCUUUAGUCGGGUAAGUCUUGCUGAGUAAUUGCGUACUCAGGGUUUUAUUCCCUGUUGUUUUUCAGGUCUUAGUAUUUGUGUUGUUGAUGGUGGUGUUAAGUGCCGGUGGGCUCGGCCUUCUUAUAAGUCUAAGUAACCCUUCUAUACUUCUUAUUGAGGAUGGUCUCUUGAGCUAGCAUAUAUUUCAAACUUAUACUUUUGUAAUCACUCCGAUGAAUAUAAUGUAAAAUUUUUGUAACUUGUAAAAUUUGGUAACAAGGUUUCCGCUGCAAAAAUAUUGAUGUGUGUGAUUUGUGUUAUUUAAUCUUGCGGUCCUGGUUGUAUGUGGUUUUUUCGAUGUCCUUGGGGCAAUCGGACGGAUCCUAUUAAGUUAUCUGGUGCACAUGCAUGGCCGUCUGAGGUCUUUGAGACAAGGGCAGGUGCAUGUGGGCCCGAUAACUUGGGAGAUUCCGCCAUAGUCGCUCUUUCUACCGCCGAAGACGAGUAUAUUGCCACAGGCCAUUGUUGCGCGCAAUUGCUUUGGAUGAGGCAAACCCUUAGGGACUAUGACUACAAAUUUAGCAAAGUCCCUCUCCUAUGUGACAAUGAGAGUGCAAUCCACAUGGCGGAUAAUCCCGUUGAACACAGUCGCACUAAGCACAUAGCCAUUCGGUAUCACUUUCUGAGAGAUCACCAACAAAGGGGGAUACCGAGAUAGCCUAUAUCAACACCAAAGAUCAAUUGGACGAUAUCUUUACCAAGCCUUUAGAUGAGAAAACCUUUACCAAACUUAGGAAUAAGCUAAAUAUUCUUGAUUCUAGGAAUUUUGGUUGAUUCUUUGCACACAUAGCUUAUUUAUAUACCUUUGAUCAUAUCUCUUUUAUGUCUAUGACUAAUGUGUUUUAAAGUGUAUUAUUAUGCUUAGUCAUAGAAUUGAAAGGGAAAUGGAGUAUUCGGCAAAGACGACGCUUCCACUCAACUCCAUCGGUAUUAUCUACUCUUUGCCGGUAUUCCGCAUAAUUCUCCACUAUAAUCCUCACUCAUAUCUAUUUAUUUGCCAUUGGGGAGAAAGCAAAAGGGCUUAUAUUUCACUCACAAGUAUCCGUUUUUGGCGAUUCAUGCCAAAGGGGGAGAAAGUAUUAGCCCAAAGCAAAAGGACCGCACCACCACCAAAUUUUAAAAUGAAGUUUUCAAAUUGAUAUCUUAAUGUGUUUUCAAAAGGGGAGAAAGUAUCUUCAAAAAUUUGUAAAACUCUCUUGAACACUAAAAGGAGAAUUUCAUUGAGGGGGAGUUUUGUUUUAGUCAAAGAAAAAAGCAUUUAAAACAGGGGGAGAAAAUUUCAAAUCUUGAAAAUGCUUCUUUCAAUCUUAUUCAUAUAUCUAUUUGCAAAAGUUUUUGAAAAGAAUUUUACAAAGAAUUUGCAAAAACAAAACUCGUGGUGCAAGCGUGGUCCAAAAUUUUUAUAAUAAGAAAACCAUCCAUGCAUAUCUAGUAGAAAUAAUUAUUGGUUUCAUUCCAAGCAACCUUUGCACUUACCUUAUGCAAACUAGUUCAAUUCUACACUUUUAUAUUUGCUUUGGUUUGUGUUGGCAUCAAUCACCAAAAAGGGGGAGAUUGAAAGGGAAAUAGGGUCAAACCUUUUCCUAAAUGAUUUUGGUGGUUGAAUUGCCCAACACAAAUUAUUGGACUAACUAGUUUGCUCUAGAUUAUGAGUUCUACAGGUGCCAAAGGUUCAACAUAAACCAAUAAAAAGUCCAAGAAAGGGUUAAAAUAAAAGAGCAAAAGACAACCGAAGGCUGCCUUGGUCUGGCGCACCGGACAGUGUCCAGUGCACCACCGGACAGUGUCUGGUGCACCAGGGAGAUCGACUCUGAACUGCUCAGCUUCGGGAAUUUGGGGAGCCCCUCCGCUAUAAUUCACCGGACUGUCCGGUGUAGCACCGGACUGUCCGGUGUGCCAGCGGAGCAACGACUAUCUGCACCAACGGUCGUCUGCAAAAUGUCUACAGUGAACUGAACAGUGCAACUGCGCGCGCAGAAGUCAGAGCAGGCGGCAGAAGGCGCACCUGACAGUGAAGAGAACCUGUCCGGUGCACCACCGGACUGUCCGGUGGCCCCACAAGUCAGAGCUCCAACGGUCGAACUCUAACGGUUGGGUGACGUGGCUGGCGCACCGGACAGUGUCCGGUGGCGCACCGAACUGUCCGGUGCGCCAUACGACAGCAGCCCCUCCCAACGGCCACUUUGGUGGUUGGGGCUAUAAAUACCCUCCAAGCACCACACUUCAAGGCAUCCAAGUUUUUAGCCAACACAUUCAAUACAAGAGCUAUAACAUUCAAUUCAAGACACAAUUAGAGUGAAUCAACAUCUCUCCAAGCCCCAAUUCCACUCAAAGCAAUAGUGACUAGAAGAGAGAGUUUUGCCGUGUUCAUUUGAGCUCUUGCGCUUGGAUCGCUUUUCUUCUUCCUUCUUUCUUGUUCCCAACUCAAUUGUAAUCAAGGCAAGAGACACCAAUUGUGUGGUGGUCCUUGUGGGGACUUAGUGUCCUGAUUGAUUGAGAAGAGAAGCUCACUCGGUCUAGGUGACCGUUUGAGAGAGGGAAAGGGUUGAAAGAGACCCGGUCUUUGUGACCACCUCAACGGGGAGUAGGUUUGCAA